GAUACGAGUCACAAAAGCCCAAAUUCUUGAGGGCAAGGCCCAAUAAGAAGAUUCCAAGCCCAAUCAAGAAAUCCACCCAUACUUAGUUGAAAAUCAGGCCAAAUUGUCAAAGUGGCCCAAGUUGUAAAGUUUUAUUUUUAUUUAUUUAUUUAUUUUACUUAGUUUAAAUUUUUAUAUUCAGUCCAAGAGUCCCAAAUAAAAGACCCUUGGCCGAAUUUCCAUAUUAAAAUAAUUAGGAGUUUUUUUUAGUUUUAGUUUUAGUGUUCUAAUUAAAUUAGGAAAACAUUUGAAAGGCCUAUUUAUAUGGCUUGGCCAGCCACC
rnacentral:lncRNA from 1 species